ensembl:snRNA U1 U1 spliceosomal RNA
AUACCUACCUGGCAGGGGAGAUACCAUGAUCAUGAAGGUGGUUUUCCCAGGGCGAGGCUUAUCCAUUGCCCCCUGGAUGUGCUGACCCCUUUGAUUUCCCCAAAUGUGGGAAACUCAACUGCAUAAUUUGUGGUAGUGGGGGACUGCGUUUGCGCUUUCCCCUG